AGAGAAGGGUAUUCAAAGACGAGUUGCUUUGGCUCUUGCCCAUCUUUGCUCCCCAGAAGAUCAGAGGAUCAUAUUCAUUGAUAAUAAUGGCAUGUCACUGUUUCAGAUAUCUUCUUUGGCACUUCUAGUUAGCCUUGUUAUUUUAAUUAUAUAAACUUGAGUUUAUGUGAUAUAUAUGUCCAUGCUAGCUUGGAGGUGCCUAUUAAGUUAGAAAUGUUAUCUUUGGGCAGGACUGGAGUUACUUCUUGCCCUUCUUGGUUCUACAAGCCUGAAGCAGCAGCUUGAUGGUUCCGUGGCCAUGUACAAGUUGGCUAAUAAAGCCCUCAGUCUUUCACCUGACG
rnacentral:lncRNA from 1 species